CUCCCAAGUGCGAGGCAAAAUGGGUGAGGAUACUACACAAAAAUAAAAUUAUGAUUACUAUUUUAAAUGAGCUUAGUUUUUAUUUUGAAAUUAAUCUUCUUCAAAUUUUGUUAAAAUAAAAUGAUGCAGGUGCUAGAGCAGUCUAUAUCUGAUGGUCAUCCUAUGAUAACAGACCAGAUAUGUGAUAAAGUUCUGGGGACCAGACUAGAUUAUGUCUAUGAUUUGAGAGUUGGACCUUGUCU
rnacentral:lncRNA from 1 species